GCAACCGGCUUCAAGUUGAAGUAAAGCAAAAUGCCAAAACCGCACAAAAGGCCAAAACCGCAAAGCGAUGGAGGAGAGAGUUCAAGCUUCAUGUUCUUGAAACGAAAAAGGUUUUGGUUUCUGAAACAAAUCAGCGUAUUGAAGGUCAAAGAGGACGCAACUCGACAGGCUGCAGACGCAAUUCGAAGAAACGCAGUUACAACUUAAAGGGCAGACGCAACGUGAACCAGAUACUCUAAGCGAAAGCAUUCUAUGAUAGACGAACUAGGUACGCACACGUCAUCGUGUCCAGUUAAAUCGCGCUUGCCGCCAUGCCUUGCUUUGGGCCAUGUUUUAUGACAGCGUCGCUCAAGAGCGGGUACUGACGAACGUCGAGAAGUUCGAACACUUGAUGUCAUGCCUAAGUGGUAUCGCAUUGGAUGUUAUCCGCUCGUUGUAAAUUAAUGCGGAAAACUACGAAAAGGCGAUAAAAUUAUUAAAGGUACUACAUGACUUUAAGGGAGGCUCACAACAAAGAUAUUUUCGAGUUGAAGAAGGCGCCGGUCGGCUAUGCCGUUUACUUGCGGAAGCUCAACAACAAGACCAGCUGCGUGCUUCACAAACUAUUACCACAAAUAAGCUCUUCGAACUCACGAUAUUCGGGCUCUCCCUUUUUUUCUUGGUAUGUAUCACAGACCUUUUGAGCUCCCUAUAUUAAUACUACCGAACGCGCGCCACGCUCGAUCGCAGUGUGGCUCUGUGGCCGGCAUCUCAUUUUUGCAGCUUCGUGACAUUAUUCAACGUAACAGUUUUUCUUUCGGGCUUGCUAAAAUGCGACUAUUUUUUCGACGGUGAGGAAUUUUCAUAUGAUGGCCACAGAGAUUGCGUCCUGUCCACUCUUGCCUGAUGGUCAAGCACGACUUUUAUUUAUACCGUGACUGGGUCAGUUCUCAUAGGUGUGCUCGAUGCGCUCAUUGAAUAGGUAUUUAGACUGCUCGACCUUCCGUCGAGGCGUGGACCCAAAUGAACGAUGCGCAUUGUGGCGAGACUCUCGUCCACCGUGGUGAACGACAGUACUUGGCGACGAAUUCUAUCCCUCGGCACAAAUCCUACACUGAAUUUGCGCUCCUUUACAUGGCAGCUGUAGUAAACUUCGCAUAUGUUGGAUGGCGGGGAUGUUAGCCUUAAUCUUCGUAAGCACUGUCGGAGACGAAAUAGAAUAAUUAGUAAAAAAAAA